rnacentral:tRNA from 1 species
AACCAUUUAGCUCAUUUGGUUAGAGCAUUGGUUUUUAAACUCAAGGGUCCUGGGUUCGAGCCUAGUUGUUG